UGACCUCAAAUCAGGUAGGACUACCCGCUGAACUUAAGCAUAUCAAUAAGCGGAGGAAAAGAAACUAACAAGGAUUCCCCUAGUAACUGCGAGUGAAGAGGGAAAAGCUCAAAUUUAAAAUCUGGCAGUCUUUGAUUGUCCGAGUUGUAAUUUAGAGAAGUGUUACCCGUGUUGGCCCGUGUACAAGUUUCCUGGAAUGGAACGUCAUAGAGGGUGAGAAUCCCGUCUUUGACACGGACUACCAAUGCAUUGUGGUAUGCUCUCGAAGAGUCGAGUUGUUUGGGAAUGCAGCUCUAAAUGGGUGGUAAAUUCCAUCUAAAGCUAAAUAUUGGGGAGAGACCGAUAGCGAACAAGUACCGUGAGGGAAAGAUGAAAAGAACUUUGGAAAGAGAGUUAAACAGUACGUGAAAUUGCUGAAAGGGAAACGCUUGAAGUCAGUCGCGUUAGUCGGGGAUCAGCCUUCCUUUUGGUUGGUGUACUUCCUGAUUGACGGGUCAGCAUCAGUUUUGACCGGUGGAUAAGAGCUUGAGGAAUGUGGCAUCUUCGGGUGUGUUAUAGCCUCUUGUUGUAUACAUCGGUUGGGACUGAGGAACUCAGCACGCCGCAAGGCCGGGUUUUUAACCACGUACGUGCUAGGA
rnacentral:rRNA from 1 species